rnacentral:tRNA from 1 species
GGGGAUGUAGCUCAGUGGAAGAGUGCCUGCUUUGCAUGUAGGUGGUCCUGGGUUCAAUCCCCAGCAUCUCCA